UGGUUAUAGUAGAGUGUAGGCUUUGCCUGCUAUCUCUUACCCAUGUCUUUUGAGUACCUUCGUUUCCUCGGCGGGUCCGCCCGCCGACUGGACAAUUUAAACCAUUUGCAGUUGCAAUCAGCGUCUGAAAAAACUUAAUAAUUACAACUUUCAACAACGGAUCUCUUGGUUCUGGCAUCGAUGAAGAACGCAGCGAAAUGCGAUAAGUAGUGUGAAUUGCAGAAUUCAGUGAAUCAUCGAAUCUUUGAACGCACAUUGCGCCCCUUGGUAUUCCAUGGGGCAUGCCUGUUCGAGCGUCAUUUGUACCUUCAAGCUUUGCUUGGUGUUGGGUGUUUGUCUCGCCUCCGCGUGUAGACUCGCCUCAAAACAAUUGGCAGCCGGCGUAUUGAUUUCGGAGCGCAGUACAUCUCGCGCUUUGCACUCAUAACGACGACGUCCAAAAGUACAUUUUUACACUCUUGACCUCGGAUCAGGUAGGGAUACCCGCUGAACUUAAGCAUAUCAU
rnacentral:rRNA from 1 species